rnacentral:lncRNA from 1 species
ACCUGUACUACACCACAUGACUGAGUUACUGUACGGACAGGUUACACCUGUACUACACCACAUGACUGAGUUACUGUACGGACAGGUUACACCUGUACUACACCACAUGACUGAGUUACUGUGCGGACAGGUUACACCUGUACUACACCACAUGACUGAGUUACAGUACGGACAGGUUACACCUGUACUACACCACAUGACUGAGUUACUGUACGGACAGGUAACACCUGUACUACACCACAUGACUGAGUUACUGUACGGACAGGUUACACCUGUACUACACCACAUGACUGAGUUACUGUACGGACAGGUUACACCUGUACUACACCACAUGACUGAGUUACUGUACGGACAGGUUACACCUGUACUACACCACAUGACUGAGUUACUGUACGGACAUGUUACACCUGUACUACACCACAUGACUGAGUUAAUGUACGGACAGGUUACACCUGUACUACACCACAUGACUGAGUUACUGUACGGACAGGUUACACCUGUACUACACCACAUGACUGAGUUACUGUACGGACAGGUUACACCUGUACUACACCACAUGACUGAGUUACUGUACGGACAGGUAACACCUGUAAUACACCACAUGACUGAGUUACUGUACAGACAGGUUACACCUGUACUACACCACAUGACUGAGUUACUGUACAGACAGGUUACACCUGUACUACACCACAUGACUGAGUUACUGUACGGACAGGUUACACCUGUACUACACCACAUGACUGAGUUACUCUACGGACAGGUUACACCUGUACUACACCACAUGACUGAGUUACUGUACGGACAGGUAACACCUGUACUACACCACAUGACUGAGUUACUGUACGGACAGGUUACACCUGUACUACACCACAUGACUGAGUUACUGUACGGACAGGUUACACCUGUACUACACCACAUGACUGAGUUACUG